UACGGAGGGAGCUAGCGUUGUUCGGAAUUACUGGGCGUAAAGCGUGCGCAGGCGGUUCGCUAAGACCGAUGUGAAAUCCCCGGGCUUAACCUGGGAACUGCAUUGGUGACUGGCGGGCUAGAGUGUGGCAGAGGGGGGUAGAAUUCCACGUGUAGCAGUGAAAUGCGUAGAGAUGUGGAGGAAUACCGAUGGCGAAGGCAGCCCCCUGGGCUAACACUGACGCUCAUGCACGAAAGCGUGGGGAGCAAACAGG
rnacentral:rRNA from 1 species